rnacentral:rRNA from 1 species
CCCUUAGAUGUUCUGGGCCGCACGCGCGCUACACUGAUGCAUCCAACGAGUUUCUUCCUGGUCCGAGAGGAAUGGGUAACCUUUUGAAAGUGCAUCGUGAUAGGGAUAGACUAUUGCAAUUAUUGGUCUUCAACGAGGAAUUCCUAGUAGACGUAGUUCAUCAGACUGCAUCGAUUACGUCCCUGCCCUUUGUACACACCGCCCGUCGCUCCUACCGAUUGAAUGCUCAGGUGAGCCAUUCGGACUUUCAUCAUGCUGGUUUCCAGUUUUGAUGAAGGAAAGUCUUGCGAACCUUAUCAUUUAGAGGAAGGAGAAGGCGUAACA